CGGUUAAGUUAGAAAGGGCGCACGGUGGAUGCCUUGGCACUAGGAGCCGAUGAAGGACGGGACGAACACCGAUAUGCUUCGGGGAGCUGUAAGCAAGCUUUGAUCCGGAGAUUUCCGAAUGGGGAAACCCACUGCUCGUAAUGGAGCAGUAUCCAUAUCUGAAUUCAUAGGAUAUGAGAAGGCAGACCCGGGGAACUGAAACAUCUAAGUACCCGGAGGAAGAGAAAGCAAAUGCGAUUCCCUGAGUAGCGGCGAGCGAAACGGGAACAGCCCAAACCAAGAGGCUUGCCUCUUGGGGUUGUAGGACACUCUGUACGGAGUUACAAAAGAACGAGGUAGAUGAAGAGGUCUGGAAAGGCCCGCCAUAGGAGGUAACAGCCCUGUAGUCAAAACUUCGUUCUCUCCUGAGUGGAUCCUGAGUACGGCGGAACACGUGAAAUUCCGUCGGAAUCCGGGAGGACCAUCUCCCAAGGCUAAAUACUCCCUAGUGACCGAUAGUGAACCAGUACCGUGAGGGAAAGGUGAAAAGCACCCCGGAAGGGGAGUGAAAGAGAUCCUGAAACCGUGUGCCUACAAGUAGUCAGAGCCCGUUAACGGGUGAUGGCGUGCCUUUUGUAGAAUGAACCGGCGAGUUACGAUCCCGUGCAAGGUUAAGUUUGAAAAGACGGAGCCGCAGCGAAAGCGAGUCUGAAUAGGGCGCAUGAGUACGUGGUCGUAGACCCGAAACCAGGUGAUCUACCCAUGUCCAGGGUGAAGUUCAGGUAACACUGAAUGGAGGCCCGAACCCACGCACGUUGAAAAGUGCGGGGAUGAGGUGUGGGUAGGGGUGAAAUGCCAAUCGAACCUGGAGAUAGCUGGUUCUCUCCGAAAUAGCUUUAGGGCUAGCCUCAAGGUAAGAGUCUUGGAGGUAGAGCACUGAUUGGACUAGGGGCCCCUACCGGGUUACCGAAUUCAGUCAAACUCCGAAUGCCAAAGACUUAUCCUUGGGAGUCAGACUGCGAGUGAUAAGAUCCGUAGUCGAAAGGGAAACAGCCCAGACCGCCAGCUAAGGUCCCAAAGUAUACGUUAAGUGGAAAAGGAUGUGGAGUUGCUUAGACA
rnacentral:rRNA from 1 species